GGCGGCGGCAGGGGCCCGGCGGCGGGGGCGCCCUGGCCCCCGCGUGGGCGCCCGAGGCCCGUGGGGAAGCGGCGGAGCAGGCCCGGGCUCCCGGGCUUGGUUUGAUUCCCUGCCUAAAUUCUUACUCUUGAUUUGUGACUUAAGAGCUCGUUGACUCAGUUUGCCCAACAGGAAAAUGGAGGCGACAUUGCAGGACUCAGUAAUCCAUCACUGGUGUACAAAGCAGCUGGGAUUAUUCCCCCAAUGACACGGCGGGGCAACAGGUGGCUGCCUGAUCACACCAUGGACACCAUGCUGCCGAGUCAAGCCAACUUCCUCAGUUGUCGCUGUCCUCGACCUCUGUGUAGCAUCUGACACCUUUGCCUACUUCCUCCUUGGUGUCAGGUCACUACACUUAGUUGUCUCUCCUUCUCGGUCUUCUUUGCGAGACUGAGACAGCUUCUGCCUCUCAAGUGCUAUCCUCGGCAGGCUGGUUAGCUCAGUUGGUUAGAGCGCAGUGUUACAACACCAAGGUCAAGAAUUAGGAUCCCCAGACCUGCCAGCUGCCAUAAUAAUAAUAAUAAUAAUAAUAAUAAUAAUAAUAAACCCUUUGAAACCUUCUUGUCUUAAA